rnacentral:rRNA from 1 species
CCGAGGAAAAGAAAUCAACCGAGAUUCCCCCAGUAGCGGCGAGCGAACGGGGAGGAGCCCAGAGCCUGAAUCAGCAUGUGUGUUAGUGGAAGCGUCUGGAAAGGCGCGCGAUACAGGGUGACAGCCCCGUACACAAAAGCGCAUGUGCUGUGAGCUCGAUGAGUAGGGCGGGACACGUGGUAUCCUGUCUGAAUAUGGGGGGACCAUCCUCCAAGGCUAAAUACUCCUGACUGACCGAUAGUGAACCAGUACCGUGAGGGAAAGGCGAAAAGAACCCCGGCGAGGGGAGUGAAAAAGAACCUGAAACCGUGUACGUACAAGCAGUGGGAGCACAGGUUUACCUGUGUGACUGCGUACCUUUUGUAUAAUGGGUCAGCGACUUAUAUUCUGUAGCAAGGUUAACCGUAUAGGGGAGCCGGAGGGAAACCGAGUCUUAACCGGGCGUUAAGUUGCAGGGUAUAGACCCGAAACCCGGUGAUCUAGCCAUGGGCAGGUUGAAGGUUGGGUAACACUAACUGGAGGACCGAACCGACUAAUGUUGA